UACGUAGGUGGCAAGCGUUGUCCGGAUUUAUUGGGCGUAAAGCGCCCGCAGGCGGCUUGGUAAGUUUCAGGUGAAAUCUCCCGGCUCAACUGGGAGGGUGCCUGGAAAACUAUCAGGCUUGAGGCAGGGAGAGGGAUGCAGAAUUCCCGGUGUAGUGGUGAAAUGCGUAGAUAUCGGGAGGAAUACCAGUGGCGAAGGCAGCAUCCUGGCCCUGUCCUGACGCUCAGGGGCGAAAGCGUGGGGAGCAAACCGU
rnacentral:rRNA from 1 species